rnacentral:lncRNA from 1 species
GCGAAAUGGCUCGCCGGUUAUUGCAAGGUAAGUCACACAGACUUUUUUCAGUACACCGAUUUAACAGUUCGAUGAAAGAUGAUGCAAUCUCUGGUGAUCCAAAGAUUGGUAGCGGUCAUUCCAUCUCCCUGCAAUUGGCAGAAACUAUGUCAGGUUUGAUCUGUAUGAUCAAAGCUAAAAAAAACAUUAGCAAGAGAAUCUCAAGUAUAUUACUCAGAACAUAAUCUACACACUAAAUAACAUGACUCAGCCUUCAAUCAUCAUCAUCAUCUGACCACCUUCUUGCAGAGUUCUCACAUGCACAUUCAAUUGCUCAAGCAUCACUCAUGUCAUUUGGCGUGAUUGCAAUUCUUAUCGUCGUUUUAGUUCUGUUGGCGCUUUGCUGGAAAUCCAGAAAACCAAAGCCUACAUGGAAGACUCCCAAUUCUACCAAAAGCCCUGCAGGUAACAAUUCACUGUAUGAACAAAACAAGAAUCAUAUCUUAAGCCUUCUCGUGUCUGUAUUUCCAGAUAAUUUCAGCGGUAAUCUUCGAACCAUUUCUUAUUUUGACUAUCGAACUCUGAAGAAAGCAACGAGAGAUUUCCACCCAAAGAACCAGCUUGGAGGAGGAGGAUUUGGCCCAGUCUAUAAGGUGAUGAUUAGUAGAGGAGAAUGCUUACUUGAUUUCAACUAUAACAGCUGCAAAUGAUCUUCUAACAGGGAACAUUAGAUGAUGGAAGAAUAAUUGCAGUGAAGCAGCUCUCGGUUGGCAAAUCUCAGCAAGGGGAAAGAGAGUUUCUUGCUGAGGUAAGGAUGUUAACCAGCAUCC